rnacentral:tRNA from 1 species
UCCCAGGUGGCUCAGUGGUAAAGAAUCUGCCUGCCAAUGCAGGAGACUCGGGUUCAAUCCCUGGAUUGGGAA